rnacentral:lncRNA from 1 species
AAGGGUUCUGUUGCCUCUCCAUUGAUCAGUACUGAAUAUCUCACUGUCUUAAUACAUUCUAUAAUCCAGUUGGUAAAUCUGCUUGGGAAGCCAAUCUUCUCCAUAAUCUGUUGUAGGAAGAUCCAUUCAACUGAAUCAUAGGCUUUUUGGAGAUGAAUCUUAAUCAUGCAUCUAGGAGUCACAUGUGCUCUGGUAUAGCUUUUGACUAACUCAUGUGCCAGGAUGACAUUAUCAGAUAUUUUUCUACCUGG